UAACCUGCUAAAUAGCCCGUGUUGCUUCUGCAGCACGCUGGCUUCUUAGAGGGACUAUCGGCUCAAGCCGAUGGAAGUUUGAGGCAAUAACAGGUCUGUGAUGCCCUUAGAUGUUCUGGGCCGCACGCGCGCUACACUGAUAAAGCCAGCGAGUUCUCCCUUGGCCGAAAGGUCCGGGUAAUCUUGUUAAACUUUAUCGUGCUGGGGAUAGGGCCUUGCAAUUAUUGCCCUUCAACGAGGAAUCCCUAGUAAGCGCAAGUCAUCAGCUUGCGUUGAUUACGUCCCUGCCCUUUGUACACACCGCCCGUCGCU
rnacentral:rRNA from 1 species